AACGAACGCUGGCGGCAUGCCUAACACAUGCAAGUCGAACGAUUGCCUUCGGGUGAUAGUGGCGCACGGGUGCGUAACGCGUGGGAAUCUGCCCUUAGGUUCGGAAUAACAGCUGGAAACGGCUGCUAAUACCGGAUGAUAUCGCGAGAUCAAAGAUUUAUCGCCUGAGGAUGAGCCCGCGUUGGAUUAGGUAGUUGGUGGGGUAAAGGCCUACCAAGCCGACGAUCCAUAGCUGGUCUGAGAGGAUGAUCAGCCACACUGGGACUGAGACACGGCCCAGACUCCUACGGGAGGCAGCAGUGGGGAAUAUUGGACAAUGGGCGUAAGCCUGAUCCAGCAAUGCCGCGUGAGUGAUGAAGGCCCUAGGGUUGUAAAGCUCUUUUACCCGGGAAGAUAAUGACUGUACCGGGAGAAUAAGCCCCGGCUAACUCCGUG
rnacentral:rRNA from 1 species